AAGUUCUCCUCUUCUACCCUAUUCACUUUGUGACCCUUUUGUUUAAAGAUUGAAACUUCACUGUUUCUUGGACUGAUACUUUACUUAAUUGGGUGUUAAUCUUUAUUUUAGGGCUGGGUGGUGUUACCAAUUGUGUUCAUUCCAUAUGAUGUUUGCCCUUUUGUGUAAAGAUUGAAACUUUACUGCUUUUCGGACUGAUACUUAGCUUAAUUGGUGUUAAUCUUGAUUUUUAGGGCUGGCUGGUGUAACCAAUUGUGUUCAUUCAUAUGAUGUUCUUACCAGAAAAUGGACCAGGUGUGUUUUCUCUACUCUCUACUUCUCUAAUUCUUCUAGGAUCUGCAGAGCUAAGCGUGUUGAAGGGAGUUCAAUUGAAUCCCUUCGUCGAAAAAUUACACUGAAAAAAUCUGGUAAAGACAAACUCCUCUAAUUCUGCUAGGAUCUGCAGAGCUAAGUGUGUUGAAGGGGGUUCAAUUGAAUCCCAUCGUCGAAAAAUUACCCUGAAAAAAUCGGGUAAAAACAAACAAUUUUUCGUGUAUAUCUCUGAAUUGUUGAAUCCCCUUGAUAGUUAAGUGUAUUCGCUUUCUAUGCAAGUUUGUAUUUUUGAAUCCCCUUGUUAAAAGGUCUGGCUAUGCUACAAUGUCACUCUUUUGUGUGACGGGGUUUAACGGAAGUUUGUAAAUUAAAUGAUGAUAGUUUCUUAAUGGUGGUGAUAUUGAUCUCAUGCUGUUUGAAUUAACC
rnacentral:lncRNA from 1 species